GAAUUAUGACUUGGAUUUGUUAACAUAGGAUGUAGACUUCCAUUUCCAAUUGGAUUGGCAAAACUUGCAUGCUAUUUUGAGUUCUGAACUUGGUUUUAUUAACCUUACAAAGAGGCACUAACUUACCAAACUUGAAGGGAUAAUUGAUAGUCCAAAUGAAUCAAGCUCAAGUUCUUCAACAGCACCUGAAUUGAGGCUGAACGUGUAUC
rnacentral:lncRNA from 1 species